ACGAACGCUGGCGGCAGGCCUAAAACAUGCAAGUCGAACGAACCUUCGGGUUAGUGGCGCACGGGUGAGUAACACGUGGGAAUGUGCCUCUGGGUGCGGAACAACGUCGGGAAACUAACGCUAAUACCGCAUAAUGUCUACGGACCAAAGAUUUAUUGCCCAGAGAUCAGCCCGCGUCUGAUUAGCUAGUUGGUGAGGUAAUGGCUCACCAAGGCGACGAUCAGUAGCUGGUCUGAGAGGAUGAUCAGCCACACUGGAACUGAGACACGGUCCAGACUCCUACGGGAGGCAGCAGUUAGGAAUAUUGGACAAUGGGGGCAACCCUGAUCCAGCCAUGCCGCGUGUGUGAAGAAGGCCUUAGGGUUGUAAAGCACUUUCGGCUGUGAAGAUAAUGACAGUAGCAGAAGAAGAAGCUCCGGCUAAAUUCGUGCCAGCAGCCGCGGUAA
rnacentral:rRNA from 1 species